AAUAGACUGAAGAUUGCUGGUGCAUUUUUGACCUUUUCUUUUUCCAUGCGUAUCCCAUAUAUCUGCAUCAUGCCUUGGUUACACAGGAAGAUUCUGGAAGUAUAUAUCCAUGCAAUAUCUCAGUGUCUCUAAAAGUUCUAGUUUGGAGUCCACUUAAAGAGGCUACUUCAAUCUCAAUUUUGAUGGAGUGUUGUGUGGAAUCUGGAAGACAACCAAGCUGCAGGUGGGUUUCAUAUUCUAGAUUCAAGAGGCACAAUUUAGGAGCAGGUUAUAAAUUUCAGGGCACCACCAGUCUACCAGAAGAGCAAGCCGAAGCUGUUUUUUGAAUGAGAUUCCUUCUCAUCUUCUCAACCGGAUUGUGCGAAAUCAUGUGCUCCAUGGAUCAGCUAAACCCUUGGCAAAUGUUAUCACUUCAGUGUGAAUUAGAUCUGUUAGAUUGCCAUGUAAAACUCUGCACAAUCCACACACUCUCUCACACUCACAGAGAGAUUAUAAGGAUUAGCCUAGUUUUUUUUUUCCUUCUUUCGAGUGAAACAUAUGAACAUAGUUUUUGC